rnacentral:rRNA from 1 species
GCGCAGCAGGCGAGAAACCUUCGCAAUGCAGGAAACUGCGACGAGGGAACUCCAAGUGCCUACGCUCAGCGUAGGCUGUUCUCAAGCCUAGAAAGCUUGAGGAGUAAGGGCUGGGUAAGACCGGUGCCAGCCGCCGCGGUAACACCGGCAGCCCAAGUGGUAGCCACGUUUAUUGGGUCUAAAGCGUCCGUAGCCGGCUGGGUAAGUUCCUUGGGAAAUUUGGCUGCUUAACAGUCAAGCUUUCAGGGAAUACUGCCCGGCUUGGGACCGGGGAGAGGUCAGAGGUACUCCAGGGGUAGGGGUGAAAUCCAUUAAUCCUUGGGGGACCACCGGUAGCGAAGGCGUCUGACCAGAUCGGGUCCGACGGUGA